rnacentral:rRNA from 1 species
UACGUAGGGGGCAAGCGUUAUCCGGAUUUACUGGGUGUAAAGGGGGCGCAGACGGCAAUGCAAGCCAGGAGUGAAAGCCCGGGGCCCAACCCCGGGACUGUUCUUGGAACUGCAUGGCUGGAGUACAGGAGGGGCAGGCGGAAUUCCUAGUGUAGCGGUGAAAUGCGUAGAUAUUAGGAGGAACACCGGUGGCGAAGGCGGCCUGCUGGACUGUGACUGACGUUGAGGCCCGAAGGCGUGGGGAGCAAACAGG